GUGCUCACUUCAGCAGCACAUAUACUAAAACUGGAAUGAUACAGAGAAGAUUAGCAUG
rnacentral:snRNA from 1 species